AUGGAUUACUGGUGUUUUUAUAGAGUUUGUAGUACCAUCACAAUCAAAGUUCAUAAUGACAUAAUCUCUGUUCGUGCUCCGUUCAAAAAAAGAUACACAAGUACAUUGCGGCCAAAGUAUUACAAACUGACAAACAUAAUAAGCCACCUCGCUAGAACAGAGCAUCUCAGAUGGCUCUACUCCUGUUGCUUUUCCUUGCAUCUCAGAUGGCUCUACUCCUGUUGCUUUUCCUUGCGCAGGAGGCUGUUGACGGAGCACGCAGUGACGCAGGUGGCCAUGGUAGCGACACACGCAGUGGCAGUCUUCGAACUGAUGGUCGCGACGAACUCGGGCACCCUGAAGCCAUGUGGUUGGACUGAGCAUGGCGCUGAAGUUGAGUAG
rnacentral:rRNA from 1 species